GACGAACGCUGGCGGCGUGCUUAACACAUGCAAGUCGAACGAAGUGGCGAACGGGUGAGUAAUACGUGGGUAACCUGCCCUCCUUUUUGGGAUAAGCCUUGGAAACGGGGUCUAAUACCGAAUAAAGGGGGAGGGGCUCGCGGCCUAUCAGCUUGUUGGUGGGGUGAUGGCCUACCAAGGCGGUGACGGGCAGCCGGCCUGAGAGCGUGACCGGCCACAUUGGGACUGAGAUACGGCCCAGAGUACUACGGGAGGCAGCAGUGGGGGAUAUUGCAGAAUGGGCGAAAGCCUGAUGAAGCGACGCCGCGUGGGGGAUGAAGGCUUUCGGGUUGUAAACGUGUUUCGCAAGAGAACGGGUAGGUGGAGAAGAAGCGCCGGCUAACUACGUGCCAGCAGCCGCGGUAAUUC
rnacentral:rRNA from 1 species